rnacentral:rRNA from 1 species
GAUCAUGGCUCAGGAUGAACGCUAGCGGCAGGCUUAACACAUGCAAGUCGAGGGGCAGCAUAAUGGUAGUAAUACUAUUGAUGGCGACCGGCGGACGGGUGCGUAACGCGUAUGCAACCUACCCUUUACAGGGGGAUAACACUGAGAAAUCGGUACUAAUACCCAUAAUAUUCCGGGAGGCAUCUUUCGGAGUUGAAAGCUUUGGUGGUAAAGGAUGGGCAUGCGUUGUAUUAGCUAGUUGGUAAGGUAACGG